GACGAACGCUGGCGGCGUGCCUAAUACAUGCAAGUUGAGCGCUGAAGGUUGGUGCUUGUACCUACUGGAUGAGCAGCGAACGGGUGAGUAACGCGUGGGGAAUCUUCCUUUGAGCGGGGGACAACAUUUGGAAACGAAUGCUAAUACCGCAUAAAAACUUUAAACACAAGUUUUAAGUUUGAAAGAUGCAAUUGCAUCACUCAAAGAUGAUCCCGGGUUGUAUUAGCUGGUUGGUAAGGUAAAGGCUCACCAAGGCAAUGAUACAUAGCCGACCUGAGAGGGGGUUGGCCCCAACUGGACCUGAGCCACGGCCAAGACCCCAACGGAAGGAGCCAGUGGGAAAUCUUCCGCAAGGGGCGAAAGCCUGACGGGGCAACGCCGCGUAGUUGAUGAAGGUCUUCGGAUCUUAAAACUCUGUUAUAGGGGAGGACCAAAUGUGUAAGUGACUAUGCACGUCUUGACGGUACCUAAUCAGAAAGCCACGGCUAACUACGUG
rnacentral:rRNA from 1 species